UUUCCUACCACCCGGGGACAGUGCAAUCGUUGCAGAGGAUGAAAGAGUAUUUAACGAAAAUUAAAUAAACCAUUCCCUACACAGAUGAUUGAAACGUUCAGCCAUACUGUAAAACUAAAAUGCAUCGCAUGAUUUAACGCGCAUAACCAUGUAACUAUUUCAUCAAAUCUGUUUUACAGGCAAAUCAAUGCAAUGCUCUUCCAUAAUUUUAGAAGGAUACAAUGCCAAAAUUAUUAUAUAUUUAUCCAAAGAUACAGAUGCCAUGCCAAUAUAAGCGCCUCUCCUGUAACAAGCUUUAAAACUAGAGUGAGCAGAGCCACGAGUUCUCUUCAAACCAGACCACAACAGCUCAUACACAAAAGAAUAUCUGCUGAUAACAUCUGCAGGAGUGUUAGAAUACUGUGUAAGCAGGGACAAUUGACAGAGGCAUUAGAGAUUUUGCAUAUUGUUAUGGACAAGAAAGGCAUUCAACUUGAUUCUUAUACAUAUGCUUCUCUAUUACAAGCAUCCCUCAAUGUUAAAUCAAUUACACAGGUUAAAAUACUCAAUGCCCAUUUGAUUUUAACUGGCUUUAUUGCAGAUAGCUUCAUAGGGACUAAAAUGGUGACAGUGUAUGUUAAGCUGGGUUCUUUAUCCGACGCACGCCAUGUGUUUGAUGAAAUACCUGAACGAAAUUUGGUCUCGUGGACUGCAAUGAUAGGUGGUUAUGCUAGAUAUGGGAGUGGGGAAGAGGCCUUGGAGUUGUUCUACAGAAUGAAGAGGUUAGGAUUGAAGCCUAAUGAGAUCACGUUUGCGAGCAUUCUGCCGGCCUGUUCUAAAUUGGGAGCUCUGGAACGGGGUAAGGACAUUCAUGAAGAGAUAGUUAGAAGUGGGUUUCACAGUGAUGUUUUUAUUGGGAAUUCUCUGAUAGACAUGUAUGCCAAAUGCAGGAGUAUAGAUGAUGCACGGGAUGUGUUUGACAAAAUGGAUAACCGAAACGAGGCUUCGUGGAAUAGUUUGAUAGCAGGUUAUUCACAUAAUGGGUUUGUUGAAGAGGCUUAUGAACUAUUUCAAAGUAUGCCAGAGCGAAAUGAGGUGUCCUGGAAUGCGAUGAUAUCUGGGUAUGCGCAGAAUGGAUGCUUUGACGAGUCUGUGAAACUGUUUGGAGAAAUGUGGCAGGCAGGUAUAAAACCAAAUGCAGUGACUUUUGCCAGUGUUCUCCAGGCAUGCGCUAGCUUGGCUGCCCUAAUUAAGGGAAAGGAGGUCCAGGGUAUUGUAAUCAGAAGCGGAGUUCAGUCUAAUGUCUUUGUUGGGAGCUCACUCGUGGACAUGUAUGCAAAAUGUAGAAGUGUUGAGGAUGCUCAUAAGGUUUUUGAUGACAUGCCAAUAAGAAAUGUGGUUUCCUGGAAUGCAAUGAUCGCAGGUUAUGCGCAGAAUGGGUGUGCUGAUGAGGCCUGGAAGCUCUUUCAGCAGAUGCCUGAAAGAAAUUUGGUAUCAUGGAAUGCUGUGCUUUCUGGAUUUGCACAAAACCAGCUUCUUAGUGAUGCAGAAAAGUUGUUUCAGAAAAUGCCUGAAAAGGACUUGGUCUCGUGGACUGUGAUGAUCUCAGGAUAUGCUCAGAACAGCUGUUUUCAGAAAGCUCUUAAAAUGUUUUUACAACUGCAAGGGACGGGCUUGAAGCCAAACUUGGAAACCUUUACCAGUCUUCUCCCAGCUUUUGCCAAUUUAGGAGCUCUUCAUCAAGGGAAGGAGGUACAUGAAGACAUUAUCAGAAGGGGAUUGCAUUUGAAUAUCGCAGUGACUAAUGCUCUUAUAGACAUGUAUGCUAAAUGUGGCUGUGUUUGGGAUGCACACAAACUUUUCAACAAAAUGCCUAGACAUGAUAUUGUCUCAUGGACUGCAAUAAUUAUGGGAUACGCAACACAUGGCUAUGGAAAAGAGGCCCUCCAACUUUUUGAUCAAAUGCAAAAUUUUGGCAUGAAGCCAGAUCAUAUUACCUUUGUUGGUGUGUUGUGUGCAUGCUGCCAUGCAGGUCUGGUUGAUGAAGGGAGGAAGUACUUUGUCAGCAUGAUCCAAGAUUAUCAUAUCAGACCUUCCGUGGAGCACUAUUGCUGCAUGGUUGACCUAUUUGGUCGAGCUGGGCUUUUGGAUGAGGCAGGGGACUUUAUUAAAAACAUGCCAAUAAAACCCGAUGCUGUCGUGUGGGGUUGCUUACUUGGUGCUUGUCGGGUGCAUAGUAACAUAGGGCUUGGAGAAUACGCUGCAAAACGUCUUUUUGAAUUGAACCCAGAAAAUUCUUCACAUUAUGUAGCGCUGUCAAACAUAUAUGCAAUGGCUAGAAGAUGGGAAGAUGUGAGCAAGGUCAGAAAAAUGAUGAGAGAGAGGGGGAUCAAGAAAAUACCAGCAUGCAGCUGGAUCGAUGUCAGUAACAAGGUAUAUACAUUCUUCAAAGAAGAUGGACUACAUUUACAAGAUUUUAUAUCAAACUAGAAAAAUUGUUUGGGCAAGAUGGAGGAGACAGGUCACAUACCAUACGCAAACUCUGAGUUGUACGAUUUGGAGAGAGAAUAAGAAAACAUCUCUCUGUGACCACAGUGAAAGGCUUGCGAUAGCCUUUGAUCUUAUUAAUUUGGAACCUAGUACGCCUAUCUGUAUCGAUGAGAAUAUUUGUAAUGGUGAAUACUAUUCUGCUUUAAUAAUUUGUCUCUAAUAUUGUGGUAUGUGAAAUUAUUGUGAGGGAUGUCAGCCAUUGGAAACGUUUCAAAUAUGGGGACAGUUCACGCAUUGAUCAAUUAUAAUGUAAGUAUGCCUGAUUAGUUGGUGUUGAAACCUAGAAGGAAGUAACAUAUGGUGUACUUGUGUAUAUCAUAGAAAAAUAUAUGGAAUCUUUCCACAGUAAGAGGCAAGGUGCUUAAUCCUCUUAGCUUCAAGCCUGCAUAUGGUUUAUUCGAAUUGGUGUGAAGCUGGGCUGCAGUGUAAGUUUACGCUUAUCAGGCACCUAUAUUCUAUGUUGGUUUCGGAAUUUCACAUUGGCUGUGAUUACUGAUCAAGUUCCAGUGCUGAUCAUUGUUUGAUGUACACGAAUCAACCACAAUUUUUGCCUAAACAAACUGUUGAUGAGAACUUGCACGGAAAAUUUCGUGUCGAAGACCGUCGAACAAAUAUUGUAGAAAUGUAUUUAGUAGGAAAGAUCCUCAAACAAGCAUCUACAUGGAGAAAUUACUACAGCAUACACUAAAACAACAGUGAAGAACUCAAAAUUUUCAGGGAAUAUUCUCCAGAACAAUGAGUGUUUCUCGGAUUUUUUCCAGGCUUUGCUGUGAUGAAUCAACUCUCUGGUAAUUCAUUCUCCAUUUACUAUUGGGAAAAUUUCGUUGAGGACAAGAUCCGAGGACUUUGAGUAUGACAGCAUUUAAGCUGCCCAUAAAUUUUGAUAUUUAAUAUUUAUUAAAACUUCUGUUUUAGGAGUUUCACAUGUUUUGUAAUUCAAUUUUUUGUUCCUAAUUACUGGAAAAAAUAGAAAUGCAGGGCAGCCAGCAUGCUUCUCUUGAGUUUCUUGGUAAGCUCAAUAAACUUUCUUGAUCCCAUCUGAAAGGCUGGCCCAAGCACCAUAUUUGAUGCUUUAGUGAAUGUUACCAACUUAUCGUUAAUGUAUGGUCUAUAACUGCUCAAGGUAUUCUUGAAUCAAUUCACCAACACAGAGCUUAUGGCAAUUUCAUUCCAUUGAAUAAAAAAAGUCGAAAGAAACUGGAAAUUUAAAGAACAUAAAGAACAAUAAUGUAUAUAUUCCAGGCCUUGCUGCUUCUAUGGAUAUUUCUGUACCCAGUUUGGCAGUCCACAGUGUAAGUUGGUUAGUUCUGAACUGUAGGGAAUGGAAAAGAAACCUUUGGAUGCAAACUCAAUUGCAAUUUGGUUGUAUUAGCUCAGUAUUAAGCACAUGCAGCCAAUCUUAUGUGAUGGCCUUCUCAAUUUCUGCUAUUGUUUCUUUGUG